UCUCCGCCCCCGCCUUCUCUGCCACCACCACCGCUAGUUCUAUCUCCACCCCCUCCAUUGUUUCCAUCUCCUGACAUGCCAAUAAUAUUCCCACCAUCGCCACUAGUACCUUCACCACCCCCACCUGAACUGGUACCAUCACCAAUAAUUCCAUGGCUAUCACCCCCAGAUGAUGCCUCUCCAGCACCGCCUCUAGUCCCAGCAUUUGAUCCACCAACACAACCGGAUUUACCACCAUAUUUAACGCCAGCACCACCAGUAUUCCCAAUAUUUGAUCCACCAACGCAGCCGGAUGUACCACCAUAUUUUACGCCAGCACCACCACUAUUCCCAAUAUUUCCUCCGCCAACAGAACCAAAUUUACCACCAUACUUAACUCCAGCACCACCGCUCGUGCCAAUGUUUGAUGCACCAACACAGCCAGAUAUACCACCUUAUUUAAAGCCAGCACCACCGUUGGUGCCAACAUUUGAUACACCACCACGGCCUAAUAUACCACCGGAGUUCACACCAACACCACCACUAGUCCCGAUAUUUGAUGCACCAACACAACCAGAUAUACCACCGGUGUUUACACUAGCACCACCACUGGUGCCAACACUAGACCCGACG
rnacentral:misc_RNA from 1 species